rnacentral:ncRNA from 1 species
AGCGCUAGUUCCGCAAGCAGUUGCGGAAGACGAGGAGAAGGUUGUCGAGACGUCAGCGGAUGCCUUCCGGCCGGUCCGGUCGAGAGCGCCUGUGAAACCGAGAAAGUGAUUUUUCGAACAGAGACAGG